rnacentral:rRNA from 1 species
GAUGAACGCUAGCGGCAGGCUUAAUACAUGCAAGUCGAGGGGCAGCGGGGAGUAGCAAUACUCUGCCGGCGGCCGGCGCACGGGUGCGUAACGCGUAUGCAAUCUACCUUCAACAGGUGAAUAACCCGGAGAAAUUCGGACUAAUACACCGUAGAAUUAUGAGGAGGCAUCUCUUCGUAAUUAAAGAUUUAUCGGUUGGAGAUGAGCAUGCGUAUGAUUAGAUAGUUGGUGAGGUAACGGCUCACCAAGUCGACGAUCAUUAGGGGUUCUGAGAGGAUGAUCCCCCACACUGGUACUGAGACACGGACCAGACUCCUACGGGAGGCAGCAGUAGGGAAUAUUGGGCAAUGGUCGAGAGACUGACCCAGCCAUGCCGCGUGCAGGAAGACGGCCUUAUGGGUUGUAAACUGCUUUUACACAGGGGUAACAGUGGGUACGUGUACCUAUUUGAAAGUACUGUGAGAAUAAGGAUCGGCUAACUCCGUGCCAGCAGCCGCGGUAAUACGGAGGAUCCAAGCGUUAUCCGGAUUUAUUGGGUUUAAAGGGUGCGCAGGCUGAAUAGUAAGUCAGCGGUGAAAUCUCUCGGCUUAACCGAGGAACUGCCGUUGAUACUGCUAAUCUAGAGUUUAGACGGCGUAGGCGGAAUAUGUCAAGUAGCGGUGAAAUGCGUAGAUAUGACAUAGAACACCGAUAGGGUAGCCAGCUUACGAGGCUAAUACUGACGCUCAAGCACGAAAGCGUGGGGAUCAAACAGGAUUAGAUACCCUGGUAGUCCACGCAGUAAACGAUGAUCACUCGUUGUCGGCGAUACACAGCCGGUGGCUAAGCGAAAGUGAUAAGUGAUCCACCUGGGGAGUACGUUCGCAGUAUGAAACUCAAAUGAAUUGACGG